rnacentral:lncRNA from 1 species
CCAACAGGCAAACAAAAGCCACCUUCUUAGGCACUACCCUGGGCUCUGGAGACUGAGCAAGGAGCAGCAGAGGCCAGCUCAGGCCAAUUGCUUGCUGUCCUGAAACUUCCAUCCUAUCAGGGCAGGCAGCUAAGAAGCAAAUGGGGAAAAAAAAAUCCAAACAGGAAAAGGUCAGAUGGAAACAUCAAACAGAGUGACACGGUUGAGACUUCCAGGGAGAUGGGAGGGGGGUACUGUAGCAGGUAGUCAGGGAAGACUUCUUAGAGGAGGUGGUCUGGAACUAAGGCCUGACCAAGAGGCAAAGAUGAGGAAUCCCAACACUCACUUCUUUCAAGAGGCAAGGUGAAGGAUGGAGAAGCACGAUUUCUGCCUAGACUUGGCAGGUCCGAGCUUUGUAGGAACUAGCUAGCUUUGCUUUAGGGCCACAGGUAGGUAAACUGAGGUGAUGUGGUCUGUCUAGGGUUGCUCAAGAAGUCAGUGGCAAAGCCGGCCUAGAACUCUGGGUUUGGGCUCCGUGGGCAGUGCUCUUUCCAUGCUGUGUACCAUCCUGCCUCUCAGGAAAUGACUUCCUGAAUGCUUUUAUGGACCUCUGGCCGCACAAAGGAUGUGUCUCUGUGUCAGGCGGGUCUCAGGGAUUUCCAGAAGUCCUAAAAUGUGCAUGGUGCUAUGCCAGAAGCCACGAGGAGUGUGACAGUCCAAGCUAUGAGGGAUCUACACUCUCACAGGAAGAUGAAAGCAGCAGUAUCAGAGGGUGUGGGUGUGGAUGUGACAGUGUCCCAUCGUGCUGCUGAGAGAAGCGGUGGGUUGAAGGGGCUCCCGGGAGGAGAGGCCACGGCAGUUGGGCUGGGAGCUUAACUUCUCAUUUACUCACAGACAACUUCUCAGCCCGCAUUUCACCGGCCCCCCAGCCCCCAGCAUGGGGGCCCAGGGACAGGAGGAGGUCUUGGCACAGCUGGGGCUGGAGGCCUUUGCUUGAGCCCUGGGUUGAGGUGUCUUCGACCUGCAGAGAGGUCCCUGCCCAGGGUUCCUAUGGGACUAGCCCUGCCCCUGCUCACUUCUGUUCCUUGUUGCUGUGCCACCGCCCCCCACACCCCCCGGCUGGCUUUGAUGUUAGUCCCACUCAGCCUGGCCUCCUGCUGCGACGCCCCAGGAUGGCUCUCCAGCUCGCAGGGACUCUCCCUCUCUGUAUCACAGCCCAGAUCUGGCCUCCUGCUUGCUGGGCUGUGGCAGCGGGAUCACUCUGGGGCCCAGGGAGAGGUAACGAAGGAACAAGCUGUCGUUGAUGCUGAAGUCUCUGCUGGAUUUGGGAGGAAUUAGCCCUUUGGAGCACAGCUGCAAUGGUGCUUGGACCCUCUUUGCUGCCUUCGGCAUGACAGGAGCCUGCCUUCCCUGUCUUGAGUUUGUGUUUUCCUCCUUCUCUGGCACUUGGCCCAGUUUGGCCCUAAUAACCUUUGAGGGACCUUCAUAGCUGACCCCCAGCCUCUUUCUGCUCACAGCUGCCCGAUGGAUCUUCCAGCCCUGCUCAAAGUCCUCUAUGGCUCCCAGGGGCUACACAGCAAAUAUAGCCACCUCCUUAGUCUUUAUUUAAGAUCUUCUGCAAUUUGACCUUUGUCUUAACCUUUCAGCCCCAUGUGGAUCUGGGGAGUCCAAGCCUGAAUUUGAGUCUGGGUUCCACUGCAUCUGAGCUGUGAAACCUUGGGAAAUGC